AUGAACGCUGGCGGCGUGCUUAACACAUGCAAGUCGCACGGAAAGGCUCCUGCUUGCAGGGGUACUCGAGUGGCGAACGGGUGAGUAACACGUGGGUGAUCUGCCCUGCACUUCGGGAUAAGCCUGGGAAACUGGGUCUAAUACCGGAUAGGACGAUGGUUUGGAUGCCAUUGUGGAAAGUUUUUCGGUGUGGGAUGAGCUCGCGGCCUAUCAGCUUGUUGGUGGGGUAAUGGCCUACCAAGGCGUCGACGGGUAGCCGGCCUGAGAGGGUGUACGGCCACAUUGGGACUGAGAUACGGCCCAGACUCCUACGGGAGGCAGCAGUGGGGAAUAUUGCACAAUGGGCGCAAGCCUGAUGCAGCGACGCCGCGUGGGGGAUGACGGCCUUCGGGUUGUAAACUCCUUUCGCUAGGGACGAAGCGUUUUGUGACGGUACCUGGAGAAGAAGCACCGGCUAACUACGUG
rnacentral:rRNA from 1 species